AUUUUAAAGUCACCUAAGAGGAAAGAACUUCCUGCUCCACAGUGAGAGUGGUGCAUCAGGCAGACGGGCUGCAGCACCUAGAGGCCUCACAGAGCUCCCAUUGCCCAGGGCUCCGGGUGCCCAGCUGUCUUUCCUCUGGUCCUGCCGUCUUCUCUGUGGGAACUUCUGCUCCAGCUCAGACUGAAUGCUGUGCUUAGGACGUGUCCCCCCAAAGCCCAUGUGGUGGAAAGGUAGUCCCCAAAGUCAUAUGGUGGUGGUAUUUGGAGGCGGGGCCUUGAGAGCUAAUAAGGAUAAGAGAGGUCACAAACGUGGGGCCCCCCGCCAUGGCAUUAGUGGCUUUAUGAGAAGAGGAAGAGAGGCCUGAGCUAGUGCACUGCUCUGUUUUGCUGUGUGAUGCUCUCUGCCAUGUUAGGACGAUGUAGGAAGCCCUCAUCUGAUGCCAGCACCAUGCUCUUGGACUUCAGCCUCAAACAUGAGCUAAUAAACUUCUAUGCUUUAUUUUUCACAGUGGCCUGGGUCGAAUCCCGGGGCACGCUACCACCAAGCUACAUCCCCAGCCCUUUCGAUUUUUUAUUUUGCAACAAGGACUAAGUUCCCCAGGCUGGCUUGAAUUUGGGAUCCUCCUGCCUCAGCUUCCUAGCUGGGAUUACAGGUGUGUACCACCACACCUGGUUAUUCAUUUUCUUUCUUCCUUUUUUUCUUUUUUCUUGCAGUGCUAAGGAUGGAACCCAAGGCCUUGAGCAUGUUAAGCAUGUGCUCCACCACUGAGUUAUACCCUCAGCCCCUAAGAAUCUAUUCUUCAUCAAUUACCUGAUCUCAAGAAUGAUGUAUUGCAACAGAAAAUGGCCCAGGACUCUGCCCCAUGAGCAACCACAUUCUUCCCGAGCUGUCCAGGUGUGCCCCUCUCCAGUGACAUCCCAUCCCCUUCCUCCCUCUGAAACCGCUGCCUUUCAGGGUCAUCCGCUUACACCAUCCUGAAGCGAGUCCUCCUCCACACGAGCUGUCACCAAGUCCUGUUUUCUCCCCUCUCCACUACACUCUCGGACUCAUUCACUGCUUCGGCGUCCGGCCAGCCCCUGCCUGCCCAGCACACCCCCUCGCCAGUGCUACAGUCCCCUUCAUCCCACCUAACCCCUCUGCGAUCCAUUUUCCAAAGAGCAGCCGUCAGCCACAACCACAUCCACAAAUAUCUACUCUUCUGGUGCACUCUCAGCGCACCCUGGAACAAACUGGACUCCUGCCCCAAGGCAGACAGAGUCAGCCGCUACACAAUCAAGGCAACAGGUCCUAAACUGACCUUGAACAGUGGACGGUGGACACGCUAUGGAGAGAAAACUGGGAGCAGGUACAGGGCGUCAGGAAGGCAGGAUAUGGGGUGGUCACCAGAGACCUCCUGGGGAAAUCGAGAUAGGAGGAAGGACUCAAGGGAAUGAAGGCUGAAACCACAGGAGCGCCUCUGGCAUAUGGUUGCGAAGAGAUUUACACUGAGAAGGACAAAGGUGCAAACAAAGCCACAGGAGAUUCAAACAAGGACAAGUUCAAGGUGGACCCAGGAAAAUCAAGCCAAGUUCAGUAAAAUCAGAGACUGAGUUGCAGCUUUAGGACUAUUCAAUCCACUCCACAGUGGUAGCUGCUCAGAAAGGUAGGGGAGCCCCUUCCAGUUCCAGGCUGAGAUUGGUCACAGAGGACAGAUCACCUCGUGCACUUGUGGAGCCAGGAGCCAGAAUUCUCCCAAAGAAGAGAUGAGAUGGACUAUUGAAUCCCCACGGGGCCCCAUCAGCACCCCAUUCUCUCUGUUUACAAGAUGUAACCCUUGAUACUGCCACCUUGAAUUUUCAGAGAGUGGAUUCCUUUGAUUGGAACCACUCUGGGCAAUGGUGAUUAGAUUCCAUUAACUGUCAGAAUCAAUUGAACAGUGAGCUUUCCUUCCUGAAGGAAAGCCAGGUUCCAGUACUUGGCUGACUGCAGUGCCCUGAAGGAAUGCAUUGAAGGGAGGCCGAAAUGAGAAAUCAUCCCUUUUUUUUUUUGGUACCAGGGAUCGAACUCGGGUCCUUGAGCUUUCGAGGCAGGCGGUGAAACCACUGAGCUAAAUCCCUGGACCCCAUCAUCACUUUCUGAAAAGACACUUAGGGAUCCCUCCUGCAUUAUU
rnacentral:lncRNA from 1 species